AUUGAACGCUGGCGGCAGGCCUAACACAUGCAAGUCGGGCGGUAACACAGGGAGCUUGCUCCUGGGUGACGAGCGGCGGACGGGUGAGUAAUGUCUGGGAAACUGCCUGAUGGAGGGGGAUAACUACUGGAAACGGUAGCUAAUACCGCAUAACGUCGCAAGACCAACGAGGGGGACCUUCGGGCCGCUUGCCAUCAGAUGUGCCCAGAUGGGAUUAGCUAGUAGGUGGGGUAACGGCUCACCUAGGCGACGAUCCCUAGCUGGUCUGAGAGGAUGACCAGCCACACUGGAACUGAGACACGGUCCAGACUCCUACGGGAGGCAGCAGUGGGGAAUAUUGCACAAUGGGCGCAAGCCUGAUGCAGCCAUGCCGCGUGUAUGAAGAAGGCCUUCGGGUUGUAAAGUACUUUCAGCGGGGAGGAAGGUGUUGUGGUUAAUAACCACAGCAAUUGACGUUACCCGCAGAAGAAGCACCGGCUAACUCCGUGCCAGCAGCCGCCGUAAAAC
rnacentral:rRNA from 1 species